rnacentral:lncRNA from 1 species
AGAACCUGAACAAAAGACCCAGUCCCAUUUAACGGCAAAUUUGACAGUAACUCAGAUGAAAUUAUUAAUGUUUAGUAACCAUUGGAAAACCAUGAAGCUAGAGGAAGAAAAGAUGUUAAAGUGAGGAACUAAAGGCAGCCUGAGUUGGUGCAAAAGACUGAAAUUCUGAAGCUGAAAGUCGGGCAAGCAUGGUAUAGGGGCCUCACUGAACUGGAGAGUCAAACACACAAGAACACGAUGGUAGAGUAGGAGCUGUGCAGCCACACUUCUGACAGAAAUCUCCUCAUUGGGCAUCAUUGGGAUGUUCUGGCCCAAAAUACAGAUAUCAAUUUAGACUGUGUUUCUAGAGUAACAGCUAGACAAAGCAAGAAUUGAAAGACAACAGAUGGUGCAUCAGCUGUGGGGAGAAAAUAAAAAGAGAUAAGAAAGAAAGCUCUAUGAAGAGACUACAGCCAAAAGGUACAACGCUCUGCCUGGACAGUUUUUCUAAAGGAAUCGUGAUUUAACUACGGCAUUCUCCCAACAAAUACUGCAGUAGAAAUCUCAUCAGACGAUGAUCUGAAGUCUAUCCUUGAAAAGAAAAGUACAUCAGACCAGUGGGUUGUUCAAGACUGAAGACCCCUCAGAGACUGUGAGUUCCCUAAGGCUCUUUCUCUGCCUGUUGGCUGCCGCACACCAGUGCCUGGUACAUGGUGCUUAAUAAGCAUGUGGUAAAUGAUAGAAACCAUUCCAAGAUGAAAAGCCUUCUUUCCUGCUGCAGAGGCUGGAAAAGUCCCUUGUUCUCGAGCACAGCAAAAUGACCCAGCUGCACCGGAGACACAAGCGAGAUCUACACGAGUGAGAGGCUUUACCCUGGAUUAGCAUCUACUGUCCUGCUAAGGUUUCAAGUCCGGCGUGUUUCCAGUGGAUGAAAACUAACCCUGUGUUACACAAAGAACCUAAGCUACAGCAAUCUAGAUAACUUAAGGGUAUUUAUUAUAGAGGAGUGCUAUUGUCCAGUUCUGCAUUGGAAGAACAGAAGUAAUUAUACUACUGUAGCUUCUAAUAUCCAAGCGGGAAUUUUGCGUCAUUAAGUAAAUGAAGAGAUGAGAUUAGAGGUGAACAAAACUAGGAAGAGAAUCAGAAGGAGAAUUAACAUUUCUUAGUGCAUACCAUGUUUUAGAAACUUAGGCGUUGCCAUGUAAUUCUCACAGCAUCAUUUACAUAUUUGUGUUGUCAUCCCAUUUUAGAGAUGAAGAAACAGGUACUCAAAACGAUGAGGUCACUUGCUAAAGAUCAUAGUUCCAGGACCUGAACUGGGAUCCACAUGUGUCUGCCUGACUUCAGAAUCCUUUUUACCAUCAAUAUAUUACCUAUUAAGAAAUGACUGUGAUACUACUCGGAUUUCUAGAGAAUAUUAAGCGAAACACAUACUCUUUCUUUUCUGCUCAUAAGAUCAUCAAGACUUGAAUUUAUCUUUCUAACUGGAUUGACAAUGAUGUUCAACAUAGCAAAUACCCACUGCCUUUCUACUUUCCAAAACUUUCUUCCAUUGUCACUACCUUGAACAAGGAAACCUGUGUCCCCUGCCAUCGCCCACAAAAUAAAUAAUACCUUUCCUGAAAAACAUUUCUAAAGUUUUGAAAGGUUAAUACAAAUGAUAAGAAGAAAUUGAAACACUUUUUUUCAUCAUUCAGUUUUUUAUGUUGGUAAAUUUCUAUCUAAACACAAUUUCCAAGAUUUUUAAAGGAAAAAGUAUGAAGAAAAAAAAGAUAAUGGAUUUAUUUCUUACUUUUCAUUUCAAAUCAUCAUUUGCAACCUAUUUUCUUUUCUUUGGAAAGGAAAUUUUUGAGGGUCAUCCAUGGUAUUUGAAUGGAUCUGGAAAACCUAAUGAAAAGAGUUGAAAUGAACGAAGAACACUGAGAAUAGAAAAUUCUCUGUUUAUCCAGAGAGGACUGCAUCUGUAGGAUUCCACAGCUUCCUGGACAAAGUCCCCACAGGAGGCCACCUGUAAGAGUACAAGACCUUCAGCCUCU